GGCAGAUGUGGUGAACUUGGACCAAAGGACUGGGAAGUGAACAAGCAAUGGUUCGGCACAUUUUUCGUUGCUAAAUAUGUCAAGGAAAAACAAACUCUUCACUAUAUGUUGAAACCCAUGGGGAUUCUGGGUGAUUCAGCAUGGGAGCCGUUCAUGAAGAGGAUCGGACCAGAUCUGAUUUUCAAGAGCCACCUUCACAUCCUGCUGGACUAAGACCAAGACUGUCACCGCAUCCACCAUGACUGUCAAGAACAAGGAAGCUCAGCCAUCUAUGCACAUGGAGCAUAAUCCAAGAUGGUUCACGCUUGCUGGUCAUCAGCUAAUCAAGGGUAUUCAGCUUUCACCAUCUGGCUGUUACAGCCCGUCUUCAGUCCAAUCCAGCCUUGUUGUAGAUGGUCUUUCAGAAAGAUGACAGAUGAAAAAGCGAGGGAAUGAGAAAACAUUCGAGGCAGAGGGCAAUGGCUCCAAAACCCAGACGGACCUGGCGCAACCAAUCUCGGCUUCACAGGCUCAAGUUGAGAUGAUGGCAUUCUGAUAGCAGUCCAAGCAAAUUGCUGCACCUAACAGG